rnacentral:rRNA from 1 species
UUCGCAAUGCCCGAAAGGGUGACGGAGCGACGCCGCGUGGGUGAGGAAGGCCUUCGGGUUGUAAAGCCCUGUCAGGAGUUAAGAAAUGUAAGUGCGCUAAUAUCGCAUUUAUUUGACGAAGGCUCCAAAGGAAGUCACGGCUAACUCUGUGCCAGCAGCCGCGGUAAUACAGAGGUGGCAAGCGUUGUUCGGAAUUAUUGGGCGUAAAGAGCACGUAGGUGGGUUUGUAAGUCAGAUGUGAAAGCCUUCUGUUCAACGGAAGAAUUGCAUCUGAAACUGCGAGUCUUGAGUGUAGGAGGGGAGAAUGGAACUUCUGGUGGAGCGGUGAAAUGCGUAGAUAUCAGAAGGAACGCCGGCGGCGAAAGCGAUUCUCUGGCCUAUUACUGACACUCAGUGUGCGAAAGCUAGGGGAGCAAACGGGAUUAGAUACCCCGGUAGUCCUAGCCGUAAACGAUGGGCACUAAGUAGAGGGGUUUU